CCGGGAGCCGGGCGGUGCGAGCGCCUCGCCUCAAGCUGCGGGCUCCACCGACCUGACGCACCGCACUGCGCUCCGUUUUAUCUAUCUAAUUUAACCGGAAGAAGGGAGAUUUAGACUGGCUAUAAGGUUUUUGAUGAUAAGGGCUGUGAGGCACUGGCACAGGUUGCCCAGAGGGGUGGUGGAUGCCACAUCCCUGGUGACAUCCAGGGUUGGACUGAACGGGGCUCUGAGCAACUUGAUCCAGCUGUAGGUGUCCCUGUUCAUUGCAGGGGAGUCGGACUAAAUGGUCUGUAAGGCCCGCUGAGCAGAAGAAGAGAGCAAGAUGAACUCCUACCCCCCUUCAAAACUCCUUCACAAAAUCAAAUGAACCAAAACAUAGCAUCAUACCAGACACUUUGAAGGAAACAAUUCCAUCCCAGCUGAAGCUAAGGCAGAUGGCCAUGAUCCCGCACCUUGGAUUUGUCCCCAGGCAUCAGGAGCUGCUCAGUACCUGUCCUGCGUGUGGCUACACAGGGUUUUUAUAGGAAUUACAGAUCCACUCAGGGCAGCCAAACCAUUCACACAGUGACUCAUGGAGAUGGAGAUGUGGAUAAGAGCUAGCUGCCCGUCUGUCCACAAGUGACUGAAGCUGGAGAAAGCAACUGGUUCCUUCCUGCCUGACAGAAGAUACGUUUGCUCCUCCAAGUCAAAGCAAUAUUGUGCUUCCCUCGUUCAUUCUUUUUGUGAUUUUUGUUUUGUGUUUUCUAAAUCUUGCACGUACACUGGAGCUAACUUUCUGUUAACAAUGUGUUUUGAUGGCUCUGCUAUAAGCUCUGAAAUAAUUGCGCUGGUUUUACAUGUUACAAUAAUUUGAACAGGAACAAAAUGUUUUUUUCUUCACAGGCAAAGCUAUGGUGAAUUGUUUGGUGAAGUUCCACCUAUCUUGGAGGCUGGGUAGACCAGCAUCUCUGCCAUUAGUUCCGUGCCUGAUUUACAGACCACCUGCCAGUGAUCUUUGGCUGUGUCUGUGCAUCAGAAAUGUUUGUGCAGGGAAUCAGUCAGUUUCAGAGGAAAGAAUGGAAUCAAGUGGAAUCAAGGGCAGCUUUCAACUAUGAUCAACGUGAAGUCCAUUUACAGAAGGUUUGAAAAGACAGAAAACAUCUCUUUCGUGCACCAAACUGAAUGCACAACUUCAUUGUGAAAAGAGGUGCUUCCAAACAUGAAUCUCUCCUUGAGUUAGAAGUCAACUGAAAAAUCAUAGCAAGGAUGUUGGACAUCUAGAAACCAGAGCAAAAACACUUUCAUACCAUUGGGGAGUUAUGGUAUGAAGCAUCUGAACUUUACAGCAAACACUAUUUCUUGCUCACAGGGUACAUUUCUUGUUUUGAAAAACAUAUAUAGCUUGUGUAAUAUGGGAGUAUUACAUAUGGGAAAUCUGGAGCAUCCAUUAUUCCUGUGUUCAGGUUAAAAAUGAAUCACUUUGAAUGAGCAUCUUGGGGUUUUUUUUGUUCUUUUGUUUUUGUUUAUUUUGUAUUUAUUUUGUACAACACUGGGAAAAAUUAAAUUAAAAAUGAC
ensembl:lncRNA